UACAGAGGGUGCAAGCGUUAAUCGGAAUUACUGGGCGUAAAGCGUGCGUAGACGGUUAUGUAAGUCGGAUGUGAAAGCCCCGGGCUCAACCUGGGAAUUGCAUUCGAGACUGCAUAGCUAGGAUGCGGAAGAGGGAAGUGGAAUUUCCGGUGUAGCGGUGAAAUGCGUAGAUAUCAGGAGGAACACCGGUGGCGAAGGCGGGUCUCUGGGCCGAUACUGACGCUGAGGAGCGAAAGCGUGGGGAGCGAACAGG
rnacentral:rRNA from 1 species